UACGGAGGGGGCAAGCGUUGUUCGGAAUUACUGGGCGUAAAGGGCGCGCAGGCGGCUGCUCAAGUCAGGCGUGAAAGGCCUGGGCUCAACCCGGGAAUUGCGCUUGAGACUGGGCUGGCUUGAGUGCGGGAGAGGAUGGUGGAAUUCCCAGUGUAGAGGUGAAAUUCGUAGAUAUUGGGAAGAACACCGGUGGCGAAGGCGGCUAUCUGGACGGUUUCUGACGCUAAGACGCGAAAGCGUGGGGAGCAAACAGG
rnacentral:rRNA from 1 species